rnacentral:rRNA from 1 species
UACGGGGGGGGCAAGCGUUGUUCGGAAUUACUGGGCGUAAAGGGCGCGUAGGCGGCCUGCUAAGUCGGACGUGAAAUCCCUCAGCUUAACUGGGGAACUGCGUCCGAUACUGGAUGGCUCGAGUUUGGGAGAGGGAUGCGGAAUUCCAGGUGUAGCGGUGAAAUGCGUAGAUAUCUGGAGGAACACCGGUGGCGAAGGCGGCACCCUGGACCAACACUGACACUGAGGAGCGAAAGCCAGGGGAGCAAACGGG